rnacentral:sRNA from 1 species
UAGAUUUUUUCAGAAAUCUAAAUAAUUGGUUUUUAAACGUUUUGUGUGUAUAUACUUAUUAAAAGAAAUCUUAAAACUAUAUAUAUAUAUAUAUAUUUGUGUGUGUGUGUGUGUGUGUGUGUGGUGCUAGGGAUUGAACACCAGGGCCUUGUACAUGUGAGGCAAGCACUCUACCAACUGAGCUAUAUUUCCCAGCCUUCUCUAG